GGCACUGUGGCGGAGUGGUUAACGCGACAGAUUCGAAUGACGUAAGAGCCUCUUAUCUGUUCCACUUUGUGGGCGCAUGUUCGAGUCAUGCCAGUGUCG